UGAUGGCUUGGAUCAUGGACUGUGGGCCCUGCACCAGCCCCAGGGUGAAGAAUGGGUGGAGGCAGGCAGAGGUGCCCAGUGUUGACAAGGGUUAUAGAAGUCCCCUCCUGCAUUGUACAAGUGAGGAAACUGAGGCUGGAGGAGGGGAGGGACUUGCACAAGGCCACAGGGCCCAGUCUGCUUCCGGGCCUCCUCACCGCCAGCCUUCCCCUCCGAAAAAAGGAGAGUGCUAAGUUUCGAGGAGCGGCUGUACCAGGCAUCUUAGUGCUACCAUUUUGCCCACAAAUCCUGUGGGGCAAGUGCUGUUUCCCUGGAGAGUCGAGGGACCACUCAGCGAGCUUCAGUGGCUAUUUGCUAAACAUCCACCAGGGCCAGACCCCAUUUAAGC
rnacentral:lncRNA from 1 species